rnacentral:lncRNA from 10 species
CCCGAAUGAAGGAACAAAGACCAAGUGAGAAGGCUUUUGCCCUUGACCUUUGGCCUUUUCUUUUCUUCUUGUUUGGGUUACAGAUGUGAUCCCUGGAGGUGAGUGGCUAUCUUGUGAAGCAUUGCAGAUGAUGGGGCAGGAAGACGGAACUAUCCUGGGGUGCCUCUUUCCAUGGUCAUUGUCACAUGAGUAAGGGAACAGAAAACACAAAGAAAAUCACCCAUAAGGCCGGGCACAGUGGCUCACACCUGUAAUCCUAGCACUUUGGGAGGCCGAGGUGGGCAGAUCACGAAGUCAGAAGUUCGAGACCAGCCUGGCCAACAUAGUGAACCCUCAUCUCUACUAAAAAUACAAAAAAUUAGCCGGGCAUGGUGGUGGCGCCUGUAAUCCCAGCUACUCGGGAGGCUGAGGCAGGAGAAUGGCUUGAACCCAGGAGGCGGAGGUUGCAGUGAGCCAAGAUCACGCCAUUGCACUCCAGCCUGGGCGACAGAGUGAGACUCCGUCUCAAAAAAAAAAAAAAAAGAAGAAGAAGAAAAUCACCCAUAAUGCUACCUAUCAAAAUAAUCAGGAUGUAAAGUAUUUUUCCAUGUAUAAAUAGUAUCAUUAGUAAAUAGUAUCAGAAUCCAUAAACUGUUUUAAAGCCUGUUUAUUUCCAUUAAAUAUAUGAUGUAUAUUUUCCCAUGCUAAUAAAUAACCUUACAA